rnacentral:rRNA from 1 species
AUACGUAGGGUGCAAGCAUUAUCCGGAGUGACUGGGCGUAAAGAGUUGCGUAGGCGGUCUGAUUAGCGAAUAGUGAAACCUGGUGGCUCAACCAUACAGACUAUUAUUCGAACUGUCAGACUCGAGAGUGGUAGAGGUAACUGGAAUUUCUUGUGUAGGAGUGAAAUCCGUAGAUAUAAGAAGGAACACCAAUGGCGAAGGCGACUUACUGGACUGAAACUGACGCUGAGGCUCGAAAGCGUGGGGAUC